rnacentral:rRNA from 1 species
UGCCAGCAGCCGCGGUAAUACGAAGGGGGCUAGCGUUGUUCGGAAUCACUGGGCGUAAAGCGCACGUAGGCGGGUUAUUUAGUCGGGGGUGAAAUCCUGAGGCUCAACCUCAGAACUGCCUCCGAUACUGAUAAUCUAGAGUCCGGAAGAGGUGAGUGGAAUUCCGAGUGGAGAGGUGAAAUUCGUAGAUAUUCGGAGGAACACCAGUGGCGAAGGCGGCUCACUGGUCCGGUACUGACGCUGAGGUGCGAAAGCGUGGGGAGCAAACAGGAUUAGAUA